GGGCGGUUAGCUCAAUUGGCAGAGCACUUCGUUUACACCGAAGGGGUUAGGGGUUCAAGUCCCUUACCGCCCA
rnacentral:tRNA from 2 species